rnacentral:rRNA from 1 species
UACAGAGGUUGCAAGCGUUGUUCGGAAUUACUGGGCGUAAAGGGCGCGUAGGCGGCCUUCUAAGUCGGACGUGAAAUCCCCCGGCUUAACUUGGGAACUGCGUCCGAUACUGGCGGGCUUGAGUGCGGGAGAGGGAUGUGGAAUUCCAGGUGGAGCGGUGAAAUGCGUAGAUAUCUGGAGGAACACCGGUGGCGAAAGCGGCACACUGGAUCGACACUGACGCUGAUGUGCGAAAGCCAGGGGAGCAAACGGG